GGGGAAUAUUGCACAAUGGGCGCAAGCCUGAUGCAGCGACGCCGCGUGAGGGAUGACGGCCUUCGGGUUGUAAACCUCUUUCAAUAGGGACGAAGCGCAAGUGACGGUACCUAUAGAAGAAGGACCGGCCAACUACGUGCCAGCAGCCGCGGUAAUACGUAGGGUCCGAGCGUUGUCCGGAAUUACUGGGCGUAAAGAGCUCGUAGGUGGUUUGUCGCGUUGUUCGUGAAAACUCACAGCUUAACUGUGGGCGUGCGGGCGAUACGGGCAGACUAGAGUACUGCAGGGGAGACUGGAAUUCCUGGUGUAGCGGUGGAAUGCGCAGAUAUCAGGAGGAACACCAGUGGCGAAGGCGGGUCUCUGGGCAGUAACUGACGCUGAGGGGCGAAAGCGUGGGGAGCGAACA
rnacentral:rRNA from 1 species